GCUGAACGCUGGCGGCGUGCCUAAUACAUGCAAGUCGAGCGACGAGGGGACGGGUGUGUAACAUGUGGCUGACCCCCUAUAUGACUGGGAUAACCUCGGGAAACCGGAGCUAAUCCGGAUUCUAAUAGCAGGAUCCGCGCUGCAUUAGCUAGUUGGUAAGGUAACGGCUUACAAAGGCAACGACGCAUAGCCGACCUGAGAGGGGGAUCUGCCACACUGGCACUGAGACACGGUCCAGACUCCUACGGGAGGCAGCAGUAGGGAAUCUUCCGCAAUGGGCGAAAGCCUGACGGAGCAACGCCGCGUGAGUGAUGAAGGUCUUCGGAUCGUAAAGCUCUUUUAGUAGGGAAGCGUUACCUAAUCAGAAAGCCACGGCUAACUACGAGCCAGCAGCCGCGGUAAUUC
rnacentral:rRNA from 1 species